ACGGGAGGCAGCAGUGGGGAAUAUUGGGCAAUGGGGGAAACCCUGACCCAGCAACGCCGCGUGAAGGAAGAAGGCUUUCGGGUUGUAAACUUCUUUUAAGUGGGACGAUAAUGACGGUACCACUUGAAUAAGCUCCGGCUAACUACGUGCCAGCAGCCGCGGUAAUACGUAGGGAGCAAGCGUUAUCCGGAUUUACUGGGUGUAAAGGGCGUGUAGGCGGGACUGCAAGUCAGAUGUGAAAGCACAGGGCUCAACUCUGGGUCUGCAUUUGAAACUGUAGUUCUUGAGUGUUGGAGAGGCUAACGGAACUCCUAGUGUAGCGGUGAAAUGCGUAGAUAUUAGGAAGAACACCAGUGGCGAAGGCGGUUAGCUGGACAAUAACUGACGCUGAGGUGCGAAGGUGCGGGGAGCAAACAGGAUUAGAUACCCUGGUA
rnacentral:rRNA from 1 species